AUCAACCAACAAUUAGUCUCAAAAGUAUGAGUUUUCAAGGAGGGUUGGUUUUGGUUGAAGAAGAUUCAAAUUGAAGCAAUUCCAAGUUGGUGUGGUUGAAGAAGAUUUAAUUAUAAGAUAUUUAAUUUUAUUUUUAUUUUUAUUUUUAAUAUAAGUAAUAUUGGGAAAGAGAAAUUUAGGACCUCGAAUGCCACUUAAGCUACGAGGACUUACAUAUUUGAUUAAGGUUAAGCUUAAAUAUAAUUGAUCAACCACACAAGUGAACUGAGCAAGAUAUGUGAUGGGUCAAAUAGGAAGAAAAGGAAGAUGUGUGAUGUGUAAGAUCCCACAUCAACCAACGGAAAGGGGGUGAUGUGCCUUAUAUGUGCAUACCCGCAUCCAUCUAGCACGAGGCCUUUUGGGAGCUUACUGGCUUCGGAAGUUGCUCGUGAGCUCCUAGAAACAAAACCGUGAGGGCAGAGAGGGGGGCCCAAAGCGGACAAUAUCGUGCUACGGCGGAGCCGAUUCCGGGAUGUGACAUGAUGGGCCUAAUAUUCAUUGGCACAGAAGGCCUCAUUUAUGGUUACAUAAUGUGAGCAUGGGCUACGUCCGAGUAAGACAAGGCAAUUGAUUUACUUCCGGUCCAUUUGAGAUUGGGUAAUCUAAUUAAAUUAUAAGAGUGUUGUUAUUUCCACAUACUAUUCUACUUUCUUCACCCACCUUAGGUUUUCACAUUCCACUCAACUUUUACUCCUAAAAUGCCCCCAAGACAUUAAUCUCAUAGUUCCACGUGACUGUAUAACUAAACUAUUGCACCACUUAAUUUUCUCAUUAAUAUGGUCAUUGUUAUUAU
rnacentral:lncRNA from 1 species